UUGGUUGGAGUGGUUUGGUUAUUGAUUCGACCAUUCUAGUUUUUGGGGUCGUCGUUGCAGUUACCGGAACCUGGUCUUCUUUAUUGGAGAUAUUAGGGUCUAGUUCUUCCUAAGUGACAAGAUUUUAAUCUUCCUUGUCCUUUCUUGUUUUGCCAUCUUGAGAGCCUUAUUCGUUGUUGAAAAACAUGGAAAAUUCUUAGCUGAGGAUAGGAUGAAGUCCUUAGCUGUUAACUGGACUUCAUUUCUCCCAAUCCAGUUAUCCUUU
rnacentral:misc_RNA from 1 species